AUCGGCAGAACCGAUAAUCGGUCUAUCCCUAAUCCAUAUGUAUGAGUAAUUUCACAGUCAAGUGAAUGAGAAAAUGACAAAACCAAUAACACAGAUCUAAGUCCAGCAGGAUUUGACUUGGGAGUCAGGUUCUCAGCUCAAUUUGUUACAUAAUAAAAAAUAAAUGAAACUUGUCAAGUUGCUACCAAGUUCAUCUGUCCACAGAC